rnacentral:rRNA from 1 species
GAUGAACGCUGGCGGCGUGCCUAAUACAUGCAAGUCGAGCGAACGGACGAGAAGCUUGCUUCUCUGAUGUUAUCGGCGGACGGGUGAGUAACACGUGGAUAACCUACCUAUAGGACUGGGAUAACUUCGGGAAACCGUAGCUAAUACCGGAUAAUAUUUUGAACCGCAUGGUUCAAAAGUGAAAGACGGUCUUGCUGUCACUUAUAGAUGGAUCCGCGCUGCAUUAGCUAGUUGGUAAGGUAACGGCUUACCAAGGCAACGAUGCAUAGCCGACCUGAGAGGGUGAUCGGCCACACUGGAACUGAGACACGGUCCAGACUCCUACGGGAGGCAGCAGUAGGGAAUCUUCCGCAAUGGGAGAAAGCCUGACGGAGCAACGCCGCGUGAGUGAUGAAGGUCUUCGGAUCGUAAAACUCUGUUAUUAGGGAAGAACAUAUGUGUAAGUAACUGUGCACAUCUUGACGGUACCUAAUCAGAAAGCCACGGCUAACUACGUG